CAUGGUUACCGUAGGUGAACCUGCGGAAGGAUCAUUG
rnacentral:rRNA from 1 species